rnacentral:rRNA from 1 species
CGUCAAGUCAUCAUGCCCUUAUGCCUUGGGCUGCAAACGUGCUACAAUGGCCGGUACAGAGGGCGGCGAUACCGUAAGGUGGAGCGAAUCCCGUAAAGCCGGUCUCAGUUCGGAUUGGGGUCUGCAACUCGACCCCAUGAAGUCGGAGUCGCUAGUAAUCGCAGAUCAGCAACGCUGCGGUGGAUACGUUCCCGGGCCUU